rfam:Lupinus angustifolius cultivar Tanjil chromosome LG17, whole genome shotgun sequence.
GAACAACGCUAAUAACAACCAUUGUGGUUGGUCUUAGUAUUGUGAUUCUCCAUGCCUAUUAAGGUGAUCUAUAUCGUUCUGACGAGGCCUCGAACAAGCCACGAUAUU